rnacentral:rRNA from 1 species
UACGAAGGGGGCGAGCGUUGUUCGGAUUUACUGGGCGUAAAGCGCGUGUAGGCGGCUGCGCAAGUCGGAUGUGAAAUCCCAUGGCUCAACCAUGGAAGUGCACCCGAAACUGCGUAGCUAGAGUCUCGGAGAGGGAGGCGGAAUGCUUGGUGUAGAGGUGAAAUUCGUAGAUAUCAAGCGGAACACCGGUGGCGAAGGCGGCCUUCUGGACGAUGACUGACGCUGAGACGCGAAAGCGUGGGGAGCAAACAGG